AUUGAACGCUGGCGGCAGGCCUAACACAUGCAAGUCGAACGAGUGGCGGACGGGUGAGUAAUGUCUGGGAAACUGCCUGAUGGAGGGGGAUAACUACUGGAAACGGUAGCUAAUACCGCAUACCAUCGGAUGUGCCCAGAUGGGAUUAGAUAGUAGGUGGUGUAAAGGCCCACCUAGGGUACGAUCCCUACCUGUUCUGAGAGGAUGACCAGCCACACUGGAACGGGGACACGGUCCAGACUCCGACGGUAGGCAGCAGUGGGGAAUAUUGGACAAUGGGCGCAAGUCUGAUGCAGCCACGCCGAGUGUAUGAAGAAGGCCUGCGGGUUGUAAAGUUCUUUAAGCGGGGAGGCGUUACCCGCAGAAGAAGCACCGGCUAACUCCGUGCCAGCAGCCGCGGUAAUUG
rnacentral:rRNA from 1 species